rnacentral:lncRNA from 1 species
UCAAAUCCUUUAUCCUUUCUUUUUCUGACUCUCACGCUCUCAACCAUCACUUACUCUCUCCAACCCUAAUUAGCCGUCAGGAACACCAGCUCCAGUCUCACAACAUACCAGGAGCACACCUCGAACCAUUCUAAAGUCAAGACCAUAGCACCAUUGCUUAGACCCACUUGAAACCUAACCUUUGUCUCUCUCUGGCGUUCUCUCUCUCUCUUUUCUGGUCAUCAACUAUCUCGAUCCACUCAUCGAUGACCAUCUCUUUGAAAGAAUAGUGACAUAGUAAGAGUAAGACCAGCACAACACCGCUCCACCACCGCACCUGUUGAAACCCUAACCUCACGACCACGCGACCAUCAUCACUUUUUUGUUUCCCAGGUUCGUAUUGUUGAUUUUUGUUGGAGAAAUGAGUCAUCUAUGUCUUUUUAUACGUUUUUCUGUUGGAUGUGUGGGUAUAGAUGAUAUUCUGGUGGUUUUUGUUCGAUGUUGGUCUGGAGGUUUGUUUAUUUGUUUUCAAAUUUCAUCUGUACUUUUUUACAUAUUCCAUCUAAAACCGUGUCUCUUGAGAAAUUCAAUCUUGAAGAUGAGCUUUUGAGCCAUCUAUGUUUUUUUGUAUAUUGUUGGUUCUCAGCUUUAUUGCUUUUUUUUUUUAUAAUAAAUUUGACAGGUUAUUUUGUACAUAGUGACCAAUACGUCCUUCAAUUAUGAGUUUAUCAUCUUGGAAUCACUUGAUACUUAUUUACACGGUUAGUUUUCUCUAUCUAUUGAACAUAAAUUUAACUUUUGAACAAAUACAUGUGUGUAUAUUUAUGUCACUGAAUGUUAUAUGCAUGAGUCCAGUCAUGGUGGUAAUCUUCUCACUUUCUAUUUCAUUUAUUUCUACAGAAAGUCACUAUUUUUAAUAAUUAUGGGGGUUUUAAGCUACUAUGUAUAUGAGAUUCAUCUAAUAGAUGCAAAAACAAAGUACACGCAAAAGUAAAAUGAAGGGGCAUGCUAUUUUUUUUGUGUUUUUGACACUUCAAACCAUAUCAUAGUUUUAGGUAGACAAUUGGGAAGACACAAAAAGUUGGAAUACCUAUCAGAUAGGCGUUGGCUUUGAUAGUUGCAUUAAAGGAAGUACAUUUGAAUGCUAUGAGAUUGAGGUUUUCACUCCAGUUUGACAUUGUUUGUCCACUCCCUCUCCCUCUUUCUCUCUUUGGUUUAACAAAAAAACAUAUACAUACUGAACUAAGGUAUUAAAAAACCUAAUUAUCUAUGUAUUAUGAUUAUUGUGCAUUUCUUUUUAAUCUUAUAGUCUUUUGAUUGUUGAACUCUCAUUGUUCAGGGCCUACACCGAGGAAUACUAUAAUCAGUUAUGUGGAAUGGAAUAAUCAAUAUGAUGAAGGAAGGGAAGAUAGGGUAUUUUUGUGAUCCUUUUGAUCUUCUGGAUUUGCUGAUCUCUUUUUUGUGGAGUAUGCAGACUGACAUCUCUUCUGAGAACCAUUGAUAUAGAUUGAACAUAAUGGUUAAUUUUUUUCUUUUGGCCCUAAUUGUUUAUCUUUUGUAUAAGAGAUGACAAAUCGUGCUUAUUACAUCUAUUUAGCCACCUCAAUCGCCCAACUCAGGGGAUUGUAGUUACCAUCUAAACAUAAACUAUUUUCAUUGGUGGUGUACCAAAUACACAAUUAUAAUCUGUGAGCUUGGUGUGUGUGUAUCUUUGUCCCAAGGGUAGAAGACAUUUAGGUUGUUUAGUACUUCUGUGUAUGCGGGCAGUUUCUUCCUCUGAGUUUUUAAGUUUUUAUUUGUGGUAUGAUAUAUGGG